AGUGAACGCUGGCGGUAGGCCUAACACAUGCAAGUCGAACGGCAGCACAGUAAGAGCUUGCUCUUACGGGUGGCGAGUGGCGGACGGGUGAGGAAUACAUCGGAAUCUACUUUUUCGUGGGGGAUAACGUAGGGAAACUUACGCUAAUACCGCAUACGACCUACGGGUGAAAGCAGGGGAUCUUCGGACCUUGCGCGAUUGAAUGAGCCGAUGUCGGAUUAGCUAGUUGGCGGGGUAAAGGCCCACCAAGGCGACGAUCCGUAGCUGGUCUGAGAGGAUGAUCGGCCACACUGGAACUGAGACACGGUCCAGACUCCUACGGGAGGCAGCAGUGGGGAAUAUUGGACAAUGGGCGGAAGCCUGAUCCAGCCAUACCGCGUGGGUGAAGAAGGCCUUCGGGUUGUAAAGCCCUUUUGUUGGGAAAGAAAAGCAGCAGGUUAAUACCCCGCUGUUCUGACGGUACCCAAAGAAUAAGCACCGGCUAACUUCGUG
rnacentral:rRNA from 1 species